GGCUCAGUCAGGGAAGGUCUCUUGGAGAUGUGGUUUUAAUGAGGUUUGGAAGGUUGGGAGAGUGAUCAUACAGUGAUCACAGUCAGUCAUAUGUAUUGAGUUCUUAGCGUGUGCUGAGCGUUGUAUUAAGUCUUUGGGAGAGUACAACGUGAUAGACACAUUCUCUGCCCGCAACGAGCUUACAGUCUAGAGGAGGAGUCCGACAUUAAUAUUAUUGUUGUAUUGUACUUUCCCAAGGGCUUAGUACAGUGCUCUGCGUACAAUAAGCGCUCAAUAAAUAAGAUUGAAUGAAUGAUCGAAUGAAACAGUAAAAGUACAACUGUGGACACAAGUGCUAUGGGGCAGGGAGGGAGGGAGGGACCAGGUCAGGGCUCUGGUUCUGACCGCUCCUCUCCCCGUAGGCCGAAACAGAGGAAUCUGGUUCCCAGGCGUGGGCAGAGUUGCCCAGAUCUACCCGGAAGCAGCCGGAAGGCUGGAAAGAGGAGCCGGUCGGAGGCGGACCUGCGGAGACGGUCUCUGAGUCGCUGGCUGGCCAGUCUGUGGCAUCUGGCCGCCCCCCGGAGCCCCUCGAAGCCCGCCCAGCCCCUGGGGCGCCUGCAGAGGCCGGCGGUGGGCAGCACCUCGGACCUGGCCAGCCAUGCCCGCUGCGCCCCCCGGGACCACCCGGCCCCGGAGUCCCCGACGUCCCCCGAGGUCGAGGGCCGCCCCGUGCUGGGCAGUGCCAGGGGGACCGCCGGACCCUUGGGCGGGGCGGGGGUCGGGCCGGCCUCGGGGGCUGGGGAGGGGGCGGAGGCGCCGUGGCAAGAACCUGCCGGACCAGGUCCUCGCCCCGCCGCCCCACAGGGAUUCCAGGGCCGGGCCCGGAUCCCGGGCAGCCCGCCUCCUCCCCGGGGACUCCGCCCCAUCCCGGGGAGCCCUGCCGCCGCCCGGUGCCCCUGCCGGUGCCCGCGCCGGUGCCCGCACCGGUGCCCGCCGAGUGCGGACAGGCGCCAGGAGCGGCCGCGGCCUCGGCCCGGGGACUCCGGAGCAGCCGGUCCUGCCCAGCCCUCGGCAGAGCGCAGGUGAGUAGGGCAGGCCGGGGGCCGGGGGGCGGGGGGUCAGCCUGCCACUCCACCGGCCCCGGCACUUCAUUCAUUCGAGGACCGGAUCCCUCCCCUCCUCCGGGGGCACCUCCCACGGCUGGGCACCCCGAGCCAGCCCACUCCCACCUCCUAGCACCACCUCGCCGGGAACCCUGCUUAGGGACCCGGAGUCGGGGGGGAGAUGUGAGUUAUCCAAGUCACCUGAAAUGUCUCCCGUGCCACCGCAAUGCCCUGGGAGAUUGCCCCGGAUUGAGAA
rnacentral:lncRNA from 1 species